UCUUUUUAACAUAUGGCUAGCAUGAGAAGAUCAUAGCGAAAGUAUAUAAGAAUGACCGUUGAUUAAUCUUUGCUGAGGGGGUUGAAAAUAGCGACAACAUUGGACUUAAAAGGCUGGCCUCUUUUUCUUACGGGGACCUUCAUUGCUCUCUUCUUUGUCUUCCCUUUUUGUAGGGUACAAAACAAAAAGGAACUAAAAAAUAAAGCCCUCCCCUAUCCUUACGCAUAGAGAGUAUAGAAAGAAAAUCAUGGGAACUGAGGCAGAGAAUGAGUCAAGCUACACACCAAAGCUACCGCUGUUUUCAGCUCCACAGGCGCACAUGCAGUCACCAGAAAGAUCAGGGACGUCAACCCCUCCAUUACACGUCUCAGCCUCGGUUCCGUUUCGCUGGGAAGACGAACCUGGAAAGCCUAAACCAUGUACCACACUCACCCUUUUCUCUAAUCCCAAUCACUUGGCUCAAAAGUGCCUGGAACUGCCUCCCAGGUUACUUCAGGAUGCCAAGAGCACCACUGUCUUGGAACCUGCUAGACUUCAGUCUUCUUCUUCAUUCAGAAUGGGAAGUGAGUGCUACGGCUCUUUUCGUGUCGGCAGUGUUAGUCCUGAGAGGGUGCAGCUCGGUACCAUGGUUCUUAGUAAGAGAGGGACCUACAAAGACAAAGGGUUUCUUGGUUCUUGGAAGAGAAAGACCUUCAAGGCUAAAAGAGAAGUCGGUGGGGCUGGGAAAAGUUACGUCUUCCCAUCUUCUGGUGAUAAAGACAGUGAAUGCAGCAGAGAAGAAGAAGAAGAAGAAGAAGAAGAAAGCAAUAGUAGCAGUGUUAAGACCACCAGAAUUAAAAGGGUUGGUAGCUUUCAUAACCUCUUUAAUUCCAAGUCACACUUCUGGGUAAGAUUCAUCUCUCAGUUUCUUUACAAAUUUAUAGUCUUUGAGGGGUGCUGCUAUGCUACUUUCAUGGUUUUCAUCACAAAUACUGAAUGACUCACCACUUGCUUCCUCUAGUCCAAAUCCUUCUUACUUGUCAAGAUAAUUUGCUUAAAUUUUAUGAAGCAGUUAAUUAGGUUGCUCUUGGAUGUUUAACUAAAGCUUAAAUUUGGAAAAUCUUGUCUAACCAGGGAAAGAAAAAUGCUCCAUGGUGAUGGCAACCAUCUAUCAAGGUUUAAAGCUAGCGGUUCCAUGGAAUAAAAAGAAGAAGGAUGGAUUUAUGGGCUGACCCUUUUUUAUCUUUAGUUGAUCAACUACACUCCAGUUCAGCCGGUUGAUAUUUUGGUGUGAAUGAAAAUGACUAAUCAAAAGUAAAAUAUAGCUAAUGCCCCUUACUGUAUCGUUUCUUCUCUAGUUGUGGUUGUGGGGCCGUAUUCAGCUAAGGUUUUUCCUUUUUUAUCUGCAAUCCCAGUCUUGUGCAUGUAAGUUACUGCAAAAGGUUUUAGACAUUGUUGGACUGGAUAUAUAGCAGUAGUAAAUGUAAUUAUGGCUCAACUCUAUCCAUUGGCCCACGGGAAUGCAACACUCUUUCACCA